CCUACGGGAGGCUGCAGUGGGGAAUAUUGGACAAUGGGGGGAACCCUGAUCCAGCCAUGCCGCGUGUGUGAAGAAGGCCCUCGGGUUGUAAAGCACUUUCAGUGAGGAAGAACGCCUGGUGGUUAAUACCCAUCAGGAAAGACAUCACUCACAGAAGAAGCACCGGCUAACUCCGUGCCAGCAGCCGCGGUAAUACGGAGGGUGCGAGCGUUAAUCGGAAUUACUGGGCGUAAAGCGCGCGUAGGUGGCUUGAUAAGCCGGUUGUGAAAGCCCCGGGCUCAACCUGGGAACGGCAUCCGGAACUGUCAAGCUAGAGUGCAGGAGAGGAAGGUAGAAUUCCCGGUGUAGCGGUGAAAUGCGUAGAGAUCGGGAGGAAUACCAGUGGCGAAGGCGGCCUUCUGGACUGACACUGACACUGAGGUGCGAGAGCGUGGGUAGCACACAGGCUUAGAUACCCGAGUAGUA
rnacentral:rRNA from 1 species